AAGGGAGAACAGAAAACAGUAAGCACUGCUAAUACUUACCUUCCACGGUUAAAGUCCGAGGCUUCCUUG
rnacentral:tRNA from 1 species